UGAAUUUAUAUAAAGUUACUCAUUGCUUGAUUUUCACAUAUGUUCUGUAGCUAAUUUUGCCACAUAUUGUUUGGUUCUGUGAUGGAUAAUUCAUUGUUUGUGCUAGUUAUAUUGUUCUAUGAGGGGGAGAAUGUUGUGACAGUUUUCAGUAACCACCCGUGCUGUAUUGCAUUCCAUUUGUGCUAGUUAAGGGGGUAGUGACCCUAAGAUGGAUGGGCUACAAGCUUUCAGUUAAUUUGUGGGUAGUGUGUGGCCUAAUUUUUAUGGUUCGCAAAUCCUUAAUGUCUUGAUAGUUUCCAGAUACUAACUUGCUGCAUUGUAUGUUUGUAUUGUCAAUUGAUGAAAUCAUGGUUUUAAAUUAGGAGAUCAACGAGGGGAUACCUGUAUCCACCGUUCUCGAUGCUGUUAAAGAUAAAAUGAAAGCUACAGCCCAGUCCGCAGAUGCCAACCCGGAAAAGCUAAGGAAGAUGUCUAAGUCCAUCGCUUUCCUGAAGGAUGUCCAAACAGCAUUACAUCUUGGUCGUGUUGAGUAAGCCAGAAACUCCUGAGGCUUGUCACCUUUCCUUCGGAGCUGAUUUCUUAAGGCUCUCAUCUGUGUAUACAUGUUGGCAUAAAGGGCAGCUGUCUGGCCUGGAAGACCGACGAGAUUCUCUCUUUUUUUUUUGUAAAUGUUACUCGUAAAACUUCUAAUAAGGAUAGAAAUAACUGGUGGCUCAGGACUUGAGGUCCCAGAGUGGGAGGUUGGGCGGCACCACAAACUCAAAAAAUAUACUGUAUUCCAUAUGUUCCAUUUCUUAACAUUUCUUAUUGCUGUCGUGGUUUCAUUGAGGUUAACAUUGUAGUACAACUAUUUUGCAACACGUGUUGAAAAAAGCUGCAAUUGUUUGUUAAGGUAUAUGUUUAUUUCAGCCACCCUGGUUUUGUCUAAAUGGUUUGUAGCUUUUGGAUAGACGUGGUGCACAAUCACAAUUUUUUGUUUUCCUGUCUCACCACUUUGCUCUAGCCUGUAGGUUAAUAUACAGGUUUUUCAAAAUCUCAGUUAGAGCUUGAUCUAAGAAAUUGUCCAGAUAAAUCCGUAAUAAAUUAUACUCCCUCCGCUCACUAUUAUAAGAUGUUAUAACACUUUUCUGAUUUGGAUGUAUAUAGACCUAUUUUAGUGUGGUUGUUCACUCAUUACAGUUCUUAUGUAGUCUAUUAAAAUAUGCAAAACAUCUUAUGUUUGUGAGAGUACUAUUUUAACAUUUGCAAGCUGCUUUAGUGUCAGAUAACCUCCGUUGUAUGUUGUAGGUACUAUCUUUUCAAUCAUGCUUUAGCCACUGAAUAGUGGUUCAAACGGGAUGCCAUGCCCACGUGACGAAUACGUGUAGCACUCAAAACUGUCCACAGCAUGAACCCAUCAGCAUAGACAGUCGUGAUGGAAAUCAGAGAGCCAACCCACGAGCUAAAGGUGGAUAAUCAUACGAGCAAAGGUGGAGGUUAACAGACCUUGUGCCUGAUAGGAAUGAGAGCGGGAUGAUGUUGAUAAAAUCACAUUUCCUAAUUCCUAACUAUUUCGAGUCUCGGGUGAACACUGAGAAGAAAGAUAAAGAAAAGAAAGUUUUCUAGUUAUCUGUUGAAUAUUCAUAAAAAGGAGUCGAGAUGACCGAUACAACGGCUUUUGGCAUAGUGUUACACCAAGAGGUUAACAACCACGUCCACCACGACAACACCGGCACACUACUCACCUUAUCCAAACUUAAGCUACGAAUGGUGAAGAGGUAGAGCACAAAGCACAUAGACCGCGUCACACCCAUAACCGACACCUCAGAGCGCGACAAAACUCCAAACCAAAAUAGAUCAACGCACCUUCACUCAUGACGCCUAGGAGAUCGGCAUCUGCAAGUGGGCAGCAGGAGCUACCCUGGCUCGAGGUAAACAUCGCAAAUGAGGCGUCGAUCGAAGUACAUUGCGGCGCGGAUGCCCAUGCCCACAUCAACAACCAACACAUGACAAUGUGGCGCCCCAAGCCUCACCGCCGAGGCAAAUUUGCGAGUCAGUAUUGGAGAUGCCCUUAUAGAAUUAUCUCUCUUGCUUUUUCUCAAACAUGAUUUUACUUCAAACAUUCAUAUAUUCUAAACUAUACUUUCUUUUCCAUUUUGCUUUUAUAUAUUUGAACUCCUAGCGCC